rnacentral:rRNA from 1 species
UACGUAGGGGGCAAGCGUUGUCCGGAUUUAUUGGGCGUAAAGAGCGUGUAGGCGGCUUUACAGGUCCGUUGUGAAAACUCGAGGCUCAACCUCGAGACGCCGGUGGAAACCGUAAGGCUAGAGUCCGGAAGAGGAGAGUGGAAUUCCUGGUGUAGCGGUGAAAUGCGUAGAUAUCACUUGGAACGCCAAUGGUGAAAACAGAUAGCUGGGGUUGUGCUGACACUGAGACACGAAAGCCAGGGGAGCAAACGGG